GGUCCUUUAGUAUAUCGGCUAGUACUUCUGGUUUUGAUCCAGGCGAGGCCGGUUCGAUUCCGGCAAGGACCU
rfam:Leucosporidium creatinivorum strain 62-1032 BCR35scaffold_24, whole genome shotgun sequence.